AUUAUUCAUUUCCCCCUUGGUGUGGAGAACACAGCAGUACACCAGGGCCCCUCUGUCUGCUGGUGAUUGGAGGAGAAAGCAAGCCAUCUAUUGCAGAAACAUGCCAGCGUCUUUUUUUAAUGGAAGAUCAUCUAUGAAAAUCGGAAAAUGGAAGAGGACCUUCUACAAUGCUACUCAAAGCCAGGAAAUAUUUUUAGCAUAGUUAAUAACAGAUCGAGGGAUAAGACAGUUGAGAAAUUCAUUCUCAAAAGUAUAAAAGGCGUGACUGUGAGACCGGUAUUUCCUUCCUUCAUUCAUUUAAACAAUAUUUACUGAGUGCCUACAGAUUACUAAACACUGCUCUAGGAGGUAGGGAAACAUCUAUGAAUAAAACAGUUAGAAAUCCCUGUC